UAGCAUAUCAAUAAGCGGAGGAAAAGAAACCAACAGGGAUUGCCCUAGUAACGGCGAGUGAAGCGGCAACAGCUCAAAUUUGAAAUCUGGCUCUUUCAGAGUCCGAGUUGUAAUUUGCAGAGGGCGCUUUGGCUUUGGCAGCGGUCCAAGUUCCUUGGAACAGGACGUCACAGAGGGUGAGAAUCCCGUACGUGGUCGCUAGCUAUUGCCGUGUAAAGCCCCUUCGACGAGUCGAGUUGUUUGGGAAUGCAGCUCUAAAUGGGAGGUAAAUUUCUUCUAAAGCUAAAUACUGGCCAGAGACCGAUAGCGCACAAGUAGAGUGAUCGAAAGAUGAAAAGCACUUUGGAAAGAGAGUCAAACAGCACGUGAAAUUGUUGAAAGGGAAGCGCUUGCAGCCAGACUUGCUUGCAGUUGCUCAUCCGGGCUUUUGCCCGGUGCACUCUUCUGCAGGCAGGCCAGCAUCAGUUUGGGCGGUGGGAUAAAGGUCUCUGACACGUUCCUUCCUUCGGGUUGGCCAUAUAGGGGAGACGUCAUACCACCAGCCUGGACUGAGGUCCGCGCAUCUGCUAGGAUGCUGGCGUAAUGGCUGUAAGCGGCCCGUCUUGAAACACGGACCAAGGAGUCUAACAUCUAUGCGAGUGUUUGGGUGUCAAGCCCGAGCGCGUAAUGAAAGUGAACGGAGGUGGGAACCCGCAAGGGUGCACCAUCGACCGAUCCUGAAGUUUACGGAAGGAUUUGAGUAAGAGCAUGGCUGUUGGGACCCGAAAGAUGGUGAACUAUGCUUGAAUAGGGUGAAGCCAGAGGAAACUCUGGUGGAGGCUCGCAGCGGUUCUGACGUGCAAAUCGAUCGUCAAAUUUGGGCAUAGGGGCGAAAGACUAAUCGAA
rnacentral:rRNA from 1 species